GGCCUCACAAAGGGCUGCGAUUACAUUACAGGCAUAAGCCAGCGUGCCCAACCAACCUUUUUCUUAAUUCUAUAACAAUUACGCCGCAUUCAGAGGAAGGAUAACUAUUAGUGAGAAGAAACUUGGCGAAGCAAUAUGUUGAUACGAAAACAAAAUGGUAACAAUUCCUCAUUGUGACAUUUGAGUUUGAAACUGUUAACAUACCAAGCAAAAAUGAUAGCUCAAAUCAGGUUUUACAAAGAAGUCCAAUAGAUGAUGAUUCCAAUUGUAUGUUUGUUUCUAGAUCUGAGAAAGUCAGUCAUAGCCAACUUCUACAGUUUUGUUGCCAUAGACCCAAGAUUAAAUCACAAUGUGCGUGCGAACGUGCCCCAGGGUGCGGCAGGGAACCCCACGCCCACCAAGCACGCAUAUGCAGAAAUAUUUUGCCCAAAUCUAUUUUCCAACAUAGAAUUAAAGAGGUCCCAGAUAUACUUCUCUCUCUCCCCACCAAGUAUGUGAGGUCAAGUUUAUCCUAGUAUUCGAUAAAAAGGCUCAUGUGAAAAAGGGAACAGCAACGCUCAGGCGACCCACGCAGGCCCCGGCAGACGCUCUAUAGCAGAAGGGACGCGGCACAGGCAGGGCUGUGGGUGCACCUGCACCCUCGCUAACCUCAUGGUGCAAGCACCCGAGGCUCUACAGAUUCCACUCCCAGAGUUAGUGGGAAACUCCAUCCUAGCACCGGGAUGCUCUGCGUUGCUAGAUGUACCUGCUUUAAGAUAUGCAUGAACUGUCCUUACUCUACACACGAGACUCACUAGGAGAUACUUUCAGAUUUAUCGGAAAAUAGACAUUCCAGCAAAUGCAUUUCUGUAAGAUUCUCUACCUCUUUUCACUGGGUGGGGGGUGGGGGAGGGGGGAGGGGGAAAAGGUAACUUGCCUCCAAGGGUUGGAGACAAAGCCGUUACUGCAAGACAAGAGUGCUGCGCACCCCGGGAACCGCUGCGCCACGAGGCACGAGGCACGAGGCACGAGGCACGAGGCACGAGGCACGAGGCACGAGGCACGAGGCACGAGGCACGAGGCACGAGGCACGAGGCACGGCCGUGCACACCGGACGCAGGAGUAGCACACGAGGCUAGCACAGGUUGACGCCAGCCCUCUCCAGAAGCAGGCCUGUCCCUUCCUCCUCCCCCUCAGCCCCCAGCUCCCUCCAGACCUCAGUGGCUGCUGACAGGGCAGAGGCCACAACUAGAGGAGGCUCUCAACUCCACCAGGGACAGGAGCCCCGGACGCUGGGGACUCCACUGCUGCCCUCCGCGCCCACCUCCCUCUGCUCCGCCUUUCUCAGGAGCGAGGCGUGGCCACUUUGACCCUCUCUUCCCUUCUGUGGCUCCUACAAAAACCAGUGCAGCGAGCCCAGGCUGCCUCGCACGCCACGGAUGCCCGGCACAGGCCACAUGUCCUCAUCCAAGCUCCUGGGGCAAGAAGGCUCUUGCAGUAUUUCGCUUUCUGGUUGAGCAUCCCCAGCCUGAAAUCCAAAGUGCUCCGAAGAGCAUUUCCUGCGAGUGUCAUAUGAGGGAGAGCUCGGAAUGGUUCAGGUUUCAGAGCAUUUUGGAGUAGGGACGCUCAGCCUGAAUUUGAACGUCUUUUCAAGGAGGCCACACACUGAAGCCCCCGAUGUCCGCCCCACACAAUCCCAGCACACCCUCUGAAGUCCCCAGCAACAAGAUUUUCUUUCUUCAAAAAAAAUAAAAAAUAAAUAAAUAAAUAAAAAA